AUCCCGUGGUGAGGACAUGCUAGGAUGUACUUCUAAAGCCAUUCCCAUGCUUCAGCUAUUGACUCAUUUGACACCUGCUGAAAUCCAAAAAUUCUUCCUUGAAGAGCAU